AGAGUUUGAUCCUGGCUCAGGGCUAACGCUGAUGGUGUGUCUAAGCCAUGCUAGUCGAGCGUACCUCAAGAGUUUUAUAAUUCUUGAGGACAGCGGCGGAUAGGUGAGUAACGCGUGAGUAACCUGCCGUCAAGUCCGGGAUAGCUUUGAGAAAUCAGGGGUAAUUCCGGAUAUUGCCAUAAGGCGUAAAGUUCUAUGGUAAAAGAUAGCCUCUCUCUGAAGCUAUCGCUAGACGAGGGGCUCGCGUCCCAUUAGCUUGUUGGUAAGGUAAAAGCUUACCAAGGCAAUGAUAGGUAGCCGGCCUGAGAGGGUGACCGGCCACGCUGGGACUGAGACAAGGCCCAGGCUCCUACGGGAGGCAGCAGGCUAGAAAUUUGUCCAAUGGACGCAAGUCUGAGACAGCGACACCAUGUGGAGGAUCUGAAGGCCUUCGGGUUGUAAACUCCUGUCAAAGAGGACGAUGCUCUGAUAACUUAACAGGUUUUUCAGAGUGACGGUACUCUUAAUAGGAAGCCACGGCUAAUUCCGUGCCAGCAGCCGCGGUAAAACGGAAGUGGCAAGCGUUGCUCGGAAUCACUGGGCGUAAAGGGGACGUAGGCGGAUAGUCAAGUUGAAUGUGAAAACCGUUUGCUUAACGGACGGCUUGCAUUCAAAACUGAUUAUCUAGAGUCUGGCAGAGGAGAGUAGAACUUCUGGUGUAGCGGUGGAAUGCGUAGAUAUCAGAAGGAAUACCGACGGCGAAGGCAGCUCUCUGGGCCAAGACUGACGCUGAGGUCCGAAAGCCAGGGUAGCGAACGGGAUUAGAUACCCCGGUAGUCCUGGCUGUAAACGAUGGGCACUUGACGUAGGCGGUAAAGUCUGCGUCGUAGCCAACGUAAUAAGUGCCCCGCCUGGGGAGUACGUUCGCAAGGAUGAAACUCAAAGGAAUUGACGAGGAACCGCACAAGCGGUGGAGGAUGUGGUUUAAUUCGAGGCAACGCGAAGAACCUUACCUGGGCUUGACAUGCAGGAAGUACAAACCUGAAACGGGGAGGACCGGUAACCAGUU
rnacentral:rRNA from 1 species